AUAGAUAAGACGAGAAGACCCCAUGGAGCUUUAAGCUUACUGCACCUCUAUUUUCUAUAACCUCUUAUUAAACGGAAUACUGCUUACUUAGCUUUAGGUUGGGGUGACCGCGGAGUAUAACAUAACCUCCAUGAUGAACAAAACUAUUUUCUUAUCUAAGAACAACAGUUCUAAGAAUUAGUAUUCUAACAUAAAAUGAUCCGAUAAUCGAUCAACGGACUAAGUUACCCUGGGGAUAACAGCGCAAUCCAUUUCAAGAGCCCCUAUCGA
rnacentral:rRNA from 1 species